CACAGAGCUCAGUACGGUCCUUACAGUGUUCUUCGACAAGGAGCAAUGUUCUCCUUUAGGUUUCAGUGCGUCGUGUUAAUAGCAACAGUUCUCACCUUUCUUACCACCACUGAAGGCCGGUGUCCAGGUCCUUUACCGGGGAUCAACGACCGCUGUGACGAAGUUGUGAAGCUACCCCUGCGUUGUCCUGACGGAAAAGUACCGGUAGGCGAGGUUUGUAGGCCAAAGAUAUCGCCACCCGGGAGACGGUGACGUCGAGAUAUAGCUUUCUGCAGGAACUAGUUUGCUAUCCACAAUGUGCAACAUAUAUCCUUAACCAUAACUUUAUGUAUUCUGCAAUGUAACAGCUAGUUACGUCUUCAUUGUUGUAUAUAGAAACACUGUGCAAUAUGUAACAAUUAAAUAUGUAUUACUCACUUAAAA